rnacentral:rRNA from 1 species
UACGUAGGGUGCGAGCGUUAAUCGGAAUUACUGGGCGUAAAGCGUGCGCAGGCGGUGAGCUGUGUCCGAUGUGAAAGCCCCGGGCUUAACCUGGGAAUGGCAUUGGAAACUGGCUCGCUGGAGUGUGGCAGAGGGGGGUGGAAUUCCGCGUGUAGCAGUGAAAUGCGUAGAGAUGCGGAGGAACACCGAUGGCGAAGGCAGCCCCCUGGGCCGACACUGACGCUCAGGCACGAAAGCGUGGGGAGCAAACAGG